GCGGUGGGGAGCCAGUUCCCCCGCCCCUGCGGUGCGCUAAUUGCUGGGCCCGGACAGGUGCGGGAGCUGCAGUCUCCAGACCGUGGUUCCCUGACGGCUCGUCACACCGACCGCUUGUAAGGACGAGCAGCUGCUCCGCGUCUCUCCCUGAAGCGCUGUUACUGCCUGGAGGGGAAGGAGGCUCCCCACAAGCCCCACGCCGCCUUGCUUCUUGAUUGGUCGGGAACAGGAUUCCCAACAAGCCACUUUCUGCUCCCCUUGUUGGUUUCACUUCACUGAGGGCAUCCCUACAGUACAAACUUAAGUCUAGCUACAGCCACAGCAGUCAUUGCGGUCGUGUCCACACUACCCUCCUUCUGUCCCUGGUGCCCGUCCUUGCUAGGAGUGCUUUCACUACUUAAAAAGGGUAGUGUGGAGAGAGGCGAGCCUGGGCAGCAGCCUGGCUCGGAGGGGGGAGCUGGGAGCAGCAGGGCUCUAGCUGGAGCCCCCAGUCACCUCAGGGUGACACCAGAGCUGGGCGCCUGUUUGUUUGUUUUUGUCAAUUUCAUGGCUCCCUGCUGGAGCCAUGAAAUUCACAAGAAUGGCAGCCAACAGCUGAUGUAAGUAACCCUUAAUGUAUACAUGGACACUGCCUUGCCCUAACUACAGCAGCGUAAACCCUAUGCCUCUCGUGGAGGUGGAGUUAUUUUGUCAUUUUGGUGGUGUAGUAGGGCACUUACAUCAGUGGGAGCAAGGCUAUGGUGUAGACACUGACAUAAUUAGGUUGAUGUAAGCUGCCUUACAUUGACCUAAUUCUGCAGUAUUGACCAAACCUGCGACUGGAGCUUGUGUCCACACUAGUCUGGAAAUUGCCAACCUUAGCUCUUGUGUAGACUGGCCACACGGUGUUUUAAUUCUCCUCUUGUCCAUAGCUGCACAGAGGCCUGCUCUACACUACAAAGUUAGGUCAACUCAAGGCAUCUUACGUCAACCUAGUUGUACAUGUACACUUAAAUUGGUCUCCCACCCAUGUAAGUGCCCCCUUACUCCAACAUAGUAACACCAUCUCCCCAAGCAGCAUAAAGCCACAAUCAACGUACUUAGGUGGAUGCAAUGCAAGCAUAGACACUGUGUUAUUUAUUUUGACCCUAACUGUCCUCUACAGCUGUCCCACAGUGCCUCUCAUGAACUGCUCUGGUCAUCAAUGUGAAUUCCAUUGCUCAGGGGUCAUGGAGACCAGAAUUACCCCUGCCUCUUUAAAGCCCCACAAAUUUUUGAAACUCCUUUUUUCCUGAUUGCCCAGCUUGGCAAGCACACCUAGCAGCUCUCCAUUGUUGAGUGCAACUGCCCAGCUGAUUAUGCUGGCUACACGCUCUAGCCACACUCGUGUCUGGAGUAGACAUGCGAUAUUGGAUUUUCUGGGCCUGUGGGGAGAGGAGGCUAUGAAGGCACAGCUCCAAAUCAACAACAUCUAUGAGCGGAUUGUUCAGCAGAUGCAGGAAAAGGGGUACAACAGGGACUAGCAGCAAUGUCGCUAAGGAGCUGCAGCAGGCAUACCAGAAGGCCAGGGAGGACAACAAAUGGAUGUGAUACCAAGCCACAGACCUGCCACAUUUACUACGUGUGUCAUGCUGCGUGCUGUACUCAGCAGAGACAUCACUCCCAACCCUCACAGCAGCAUGGAUACCUUCAAGGAGCCGGAGUCACAGACGCCUGCUGUGAACAGGGAGAAGGAGGAGAACGGGAGACAGCAGCUGCCAUUGCAGCAUGUAAGGUCUCCCCCUUCACACCCACAGAACACCCGAGUCAGAUGAGGAGAAAGAAGAGGACUUGGGAUGACAAGUUCAGUGAGAUCUUCAAAGCCAGUGCAACAUUGAACCAUGAGCACAGGGCCUGCAGGAUGAACAUUGCAGGCAGCUUGGAGAAGCAAAGAGUGGAGAGGAGAAAGAAAGGCUCAGGAGUCCCAGCGGGAAAAGCAGAGGGAGGUGCACCAAGACAUAAUGGGGCUUCUCAGGCAGCAAACACAAAUGCGAUAGAUCCUUGGCUUGCUUCCUUCUGCAGCCCAUUGAGAACUCAAUAUCGGGACCUCCCUACAUCCCCCACACACACACAUUUUGUGGGGCAUCAGAGAUUGUUGCAUUACCCCUAACCCUCCACCCCAGGGGAAAUUAAAGACAAACAGAGCUUCAGAUACACCAACCGUGGCUCCCACAGGUUGGUGUAUGUAUAGCUGAAAUAAAUAUGAAUGUUUUCCCUGUUGUAAUUUCUGUUUUCUUAAUAAAAUUUGCUAAAUUAAGUUUUUAA